GAUGAACGCUGGCGGCGUGCUUAACACAUGCAAGUCGAACGAAGCACUUUUGAUUCUUCGGAAGAGAAAGUGACUGAGUGGCGGACGGGUGAGUAACGCGUGGGUAACCUGCCUUAUACAGGGGGAUAACAGUUGGAAACGACUGCUAAUACCGCAUAAGCCGACAGGGCCGCAUGGCCUAGUUGGAAAAGAUUUAUCGGUAUAAGAUGGACCCGCGUCUGAUUAGCUAGUUGGUGGGGUAAUGGCCUACCAAGGCGACGAUCAGUAGCCGGCGUGAGAGAGUGAACGGCCACAUUGGGACUGAGACACGGCCCAAACUCCUACGGGAGGCAGCAGUGGGGAAUAUUGCACAAUGGGGGAAACCCUGAUGCAGCAACGCCGCGUGAAGGAAGAAGUAUUUCGGUAUGUAAACUUCUAUCAGCAGGAAAGAAAAUGACGGUACCUGACUAAGAAGCCCCGGCUAACUACGUGCCAGCCGCCGCAGUAAUAC
rnacentral:rRNA from 1 species